CCCAAAAAUUAUUAUGGUUAUCGUGUUAGGUUUAAUUGCGAAGCCCAAUUCAUUGAUAACUCUGGACACAACAGUAAAAUUUCCAAGUUCAGUUUCCAGCCUUAUUGCAAAACUAAUCUGUUGGAAUCAGAACAUGUGUACCUUUGGAAUGAAUUGUUCUACAUUUCCGACAGUUUCGAUGAGGCCACAUUUAAGUUCUCCAUUGAAGAGGCCUCGUCGAAACUGUCGGAAAUGUAGAACAAUUC
rnacentral:misc_RNA from 1 species